rnacentral:rRNA from 1 species
ACGAACGCUGGCGGCGUGCCUAACACAUGCAAGUCGUACGGGCUUGGGGGGCAACUCUCAAGUCAGUGGCGGACGGGUGCGUAACACGUGAGCAAACCUGUCCUUGGGUGGGGGAUAGCCGGCCCAACGGCCGGGGUAAUACCGCAUAAUAUCGCUGGGGCCGCAUGGCUCUGGCGUUUAAAGCGGCCGCAAGGGUCGCGCCAAAGGAGGGGCUCGCGGCGUAUCAGCUAGUUGGCGGGGUGGGUAAACGGCCCACCAAGGCUACGACCGCGUAGCUGGUCUGAAGAGGAUGGCCAGCCACAUUGGGACUGAGAUACGGCCCCAGACUCCUACGGGAGGCAGCGGUGGGGGGAAUAUUGCGCCAAUGGCCCGCAAGGCUGACGCAGCGACGCCGCGUGUGGGAUGAAGGCCUCUUCGGGUUUGUAAACCACUGUCGGGGAGGGGCGAAUACCUGGCUUCGAAUAGGAGACCAGGGGGUGACGGUACCCUCCAAAGGAAGCACCGGCUAACUCCGUGCCAGGCAGCCGCGGGUAAUACGGAGGGUGCAAGCGUUGUCCGGAAUCACUGGGCGUAAAGGGCGCGUAGGCGGCUUGAUAAGUCACUUGUGAAAUCCCGUUUGCUCAACGACGGGGCCGCAGGUGAGACUGUCUGGCUGGAGCUUGGUAGGGGCGAGUGGGAAUUCCCGGUGUAGCGGUGGAAUGGCGUAGAGAUCGGGAAAGAACACCGGUGGCGAAGGCGGCUCGCUGGGGCCAAUGCUGACGCUGAUGCGCGGGAAAAGCGUGGGGAGCAAACAGGAUUAGAUACCCUGGUAGUCCACGCCGGUAAACGAUGGGUACUAGGCGUCGGGGGGAGCGACCCCCUUCGGUGCCGGUCGCUAACGCAGUAAGUACCCCGCCUGGGGGAGUACAGCCGCAAGGCUGAAAACUCAAAGGAAUUUGACGGGGGGCCCGCACAAGCGGUGGAGCAUGUGGUUUAAUUUCGAGGCAACGCGAAAGAAACCUUACCUGGGCUUGACAUGCUGGUGAAAGCCGGUGGGAAACAUCGGUCCCUCUUCGGAGCACCAGCACAGGUGCUGCAUGGCUGUCGUCAGCUCGUUGUCGCGAGAUGUUGGGUUAAGUCCCGCAACGAGCGCAACCCUCGCUCCCAGUUGCCAGCGAUGUCAUGUCGGGGACUCUGGGGGGGACUGCCGGUGUCAAAACCGGAGGAAGGGUGGGGGACGACCGUCAAGUCAUCAUGGCCCUUACGGUCCAGGGCGACACACGUGCUACAAUGGCCGGUACAGAGCGUCGCAAACCCGCGAGGGCAAGCCAAUCGCCAAAGGCCGGCCUAAGUUUCGGAUUUGUAGUCUGAAACUCGACUGCAUGAAGCCGGAAAUCGCUAGUAAUCGUGGAUCAGCCAUGCCACGGUGGAAUACGUUCCCGGGCCUUGUACACACCGCCCGUUCACGCCAUGGAAGCUGGAGGGACCCAAAGCCGGUGGGCUAACCGCAAGGGGGCAGCCGUCUAAGGUCAAUUCAGUGACUGGGGCC